ACACUCCUGCGGGAGGCAGCAGUGGGGAAUAUUGGACAAUGGGCGCAAGCCUGAUCCAGCCAUGCCGCGUGAGUGAUGAAGGCCCUAGGGUUGUAAAGCUCUUUCACCGGAGAAGAUAAUGACGGUAUCCGGAGAAGAAGCCCCGGCUAACUUCGUGCCAGCAGCCGCGGGAAUACGAAGGGGGCUAGCGUUGUUCGGAAUUACUGGGCGUAAAGCGCACGUAGGCGGAUCGAUCAGUCAGGGGUGAAAUCCCAGGGCUCAACCCUGGAACUGCCUUUGAUACUGUCGAUCUGGAGUAUGGAAGAGGUGAGUGGAAUUCCGAGUGUAGAGGUGAAAUUCGUAGAUAUUCGGAGGAACACCAGUGGCGAAGGCGGCUCACUGGUCCAUUACUGACGCUGAGGUGCGAAAGCGUGGGGAGCAAACAGGAUUAGAAACCCUUGUAGUCC
rnacentral:rRNA from 1 species